UGGAGCAACGCCGCGUGAGUGAAGAAGGGUUUCGGCUCGUAAAGCUCUGUUGGUAGUGAAGAAAGAUAGAGGUAGUAACUGGCCUUUAUUUGACGGUAAUUACUUAGAAAGUCACGGCUAACUACGUGCCAGCAGCCGCGGUAAUACGUAGGUGGCAAGCGUUGUCCGGAUUUAUUGGGCGUAAAGCGAGUGCAGGCGGUUCAAUAAGUCUGAUGUGAAAGCCUUCGGCUCAACCGGAGAAUUGCAUCAGAAACUGUUGAACUUGAGUGCAGAAGAGGAGAGUGGAACUCCAUGUGUAGCGGUGGAAUGCGUAGAUAUAUGGAAGAACACCAGUGGCGAAGGCGGCUCUCUGGUCUGCAACUGACGCUGAGGCUCGAAAGCAUGGGUAGCGAACAGGAUUAGAUACCCUGGUAGUCCAUGCCGUAAACGAUGAGUGCUAAGUGUUGGGAGGUUUCCGCCUCUCAGUGCUGCAGCUAACGCAUUAAGCACUCCGCCUGGGGAGUACGACCGCAAGGUUGAAACUCAAAGGAAUUGACGGGGGCCCGCACAAGCGGUGGAGCAUGUGGUUUAAUUCGAAGCAACGCGAAGAACCUUACCAGGUCUUGACAUCCAGUGCCAACCUAAGAGAUUAGGUGUUCCCUUCGGG
rnacentral:rRNA from 1 species